UGGGGAAUUUUGGACAAUGGGGGAAACCCUGAUCCAGCCAUCCCGCGUGUGCGAUGAAGGCCUUCGGGUUGUAAAGCACUUUUGGCAGGAAAGAAACGUCGCGGGUUAAUACCCCGCGAAACUGACGGUACCUGCAGAAUAAGCACCGGCUAACUACGUGCCAGCAGCCGCGGUAAUACGUAGGGUGCAAGCGUUAAUCGGAAUUACUGGGCGUAAAGCGUGCGCAGGCGGUUCGGAAAGAAAGAUGUGAAAUCCCAGAGCUUAACUUUGGAACUGCAUUUUUAACUACCGGGCUAGAGUGUGUCAGAGGGAGGUGGAAUUCCGCGUGUAGCAGUGAAAUGCGUAGAUAUGCGGAGGAACACCGAUGGCGAAGGCAGCCUCCUGGGAUAACACUGACGCUCAUGCACGAAAAGCGUGGGGAGCAAACAGGAUUAGAUACCCUGGUAGUCCACGCCCUAAAACGAUGUCAACUAGCUGUUGGGGCCUUCGGGCCUUGGUAGCGCAGCUAACGCGUGAAGUUGACCGCCUGGGGAGUACGGUCGCAAGAUUAAAAA
rnacentral:rRNA from 1 species